rnacentral:lncRNA from 1 species
AUGUGGUUCUGUUUGAUUCUGUGCAGGGUGAUGGACCAAGAGCUCCUGAGUGAGCUGGAAAACCUCCACAAGGAGUGGACUCAGCGUGGAGAGAGUACAGCUGCUGCCACAUUCUCUUUACUCACCAGGCUAGGCUGCUGGGAAGCCACUGUCCUCUCUUCUGAACUGUGCCAGAACUGCCAAGGCUCUUAGAGAAGGUAAGAUCACAAAGUAAGAUCUGUGAAUCCCCAGGUCUGGGCUGGGGUGGGUGUCCAUGGAGAACAGAGUCCAGAGGACUAAUAAGAGGGGCUGGGAGGAGGAGUCGGGGCCCAGACAGAGGAGAAGCAGGAAAGGGGAGCCAGACGAACAGGGCGGUGGGUGGGUGACUUGGAGGGAACAGAGGCCAGGGUGCACUUGGAGGUCUUGGAGGUAGGAAUGUCCUUGUGGGAAGAGAUGCUGGUCAGAGCAGGGAGACGGGCAGGGCAGGCAGCUGAAGACUUCUUGUGCUGGAGGACAGGCUUAGGUUUGCCAGAGGGAGGAGCCAGGUGAGGCAGGCAGGUUGGAAAACAGGAAUCUGAAGGAGCAGGACUAUGAGGCUGGGGGUGACGCGGGAGAAUCGGAGGUAGCUUUUUUGUCAUUUUCUGCGAAAAUGCUUCUAGUUACUCAUCUGGCCAAAGAGCGUCAAAAUGAGUAACUGGACACAUGCCUAAGACUACACCCACUUUUAUCUCCUACACCACCCCCCCAGGUUAUUGCAUCACAGAAUGCCCCUUAUGACGUGUGCAUGCCCCUCCCCUUUUGAGGCACCUCCCACUAGGGACAUAACCCCAUGGUGUAGGUGAAGAGUUGUUAUGACAAAUAGCAAAGAUAAGAGAUGGGGCUGUAAUAUCAUCCUCUGCCCGUGGGAUUGGAUGUCAUUUUGUAGAACAGACAGUUAUACAGGCUAGGAUAGUGUUAGGUGGUUGGGGUGUAGAAGAUAGUUUCGCAACAGCUAUUGGGAAAUGGAAAAAAAGUCUGUGCCCUGGUCUGUUGAACUCAUCUUCUCCAAAGCCCUUUCAUGUCUUUGUCUUUGUAUUCGUGAAUAUGGGUGAAUCAGUGAUGAGAUGUUAUAUCCAUGUUAGCAAUGAGGAGGA